GAGAGUAAUGGGUUGGCCUUGGCCUUGGCCAUUGUUGUGGAUUAUGUCUGAAAGAACGGGCUUUAACUGGAAUGACUUGUGAGAAUGGCUUACUUGGGGAAAUGGGAGCCUGAGUUUUCACAACUAACUUUGUGUUUCCUUUGAAGUUAUUCAAAAUGGCUCAUUUUUCAGUGUCAUACAGCAGCAAGACCUGUGAUAUUGGAGCCUGUUAUGCUGGCAAAUUUGUAAGUACCCACAGAAUUAGACAAUAGUACC